rnacentral:rRNA from 1 species
AGAGUUUGAUUCUGGCUCAGAACGAACGCUGGCGGCGUGGAUAAGACAUGCAAGUCGAACGGGAAACAUUCGGUAGUAAUAUUGGAUGUUUCUAGUGGCGAAAGGGUGCGUAACACGUGGGUAAUCUACCGUAAAGUUGGGAAUAACUUCGAGAAAUCGAUGCUAAUACCGGAUGUGAUUUACUUGGGACAUCCCGAAUAAAUCAAAGCUGGGGACCUUCGGGCCUGGCGCUUUACGAUGAGCCCGCGGCCUAUCAGCUUGUUGGUAAGGUAACGGCUUACCAAGGCUAAGACGGGUAGCCGGUCUGAGAGGAUGGUCGGCCACACUGGAACUGAGACACGGUCCAGACACCUACGGGUGGCAGCAGUCGAGAAUCAUUCACAAUGGGGGAAACCCUGAUGGUGCGACGCCGCGUGGGGGAUGAAGGUCUUCGGAUUGUAAACCCCUGUCAUUUGUGAACAACCGUUUAAAUUUAAUAGAUUUAAACCUGAUAGUAGCAAAAGAGGAAGGGACGGCUAACUCAGUGCCAGCAGCCGCGGUAAUACUGAGGUCCCAAGCGUUGUUCGGAUUUACUGGGCGUAAAGGGUGCGUAGGUGGCCAGGAAAGUUUGAUGUGAAAGCCCCGAGCUCAACUCGGGAAUUGCAUUGGAUACUACUUGGCUUGAGGAUCGGAGGGGAGACUGGAAUUCUCGGUGUAGCAGUGAAAUGCGUAGAUAUCGAGAGGAACACCAGUGGCGAAGGCGAGUCUCUGGACGAUUCCUGACACUGAGGCACGAAAGCUAGGGGAGCAAACAGGAUUAGAUACCCUGGUAGUCCUAGCCGUAAACGGUGCACACUUGCUGUAGGCGGAUUCGACCCCGUCUGUGGCGGAGCAAACGCGUUAAGUGUGCCGCCUGGGGAGUACGGUCGCAAGAUUAAAACUCAAAGAAAU